rnacentral:sRNA from 4 species
AUAUCUCUCUGUACGGGAAGGAUGAGAAGCUUCGACUAAGGUUCGAUUCGAGCGCAGCGAGAAAGCGUUGCCGUAGGCAACGACCCGAAGGGCGAAGCGCGCAGCGCUGAGUCAUCCUUCCCCCACCACCA